CACGUAGGGCGCAAGCGUUGUCCGGAAUUAUUGGGCGUAAAGAGCUCGUAGGCGGUCUGUUACGUCUGCUGUGAAAACUCGGGGCUUAACCCCGAGCUUGCAGUGGAUACGGGCAGACUAGAGGUAGGUAGGGGAGAAUGGAAUUCCCGGUGUAGCGGUGAAAUGCGCAGAUAUCGGGAGGAACAUCUGUGGCGAAGGCGACUACCUGGACCAGCACUGACACUGAGGCACGAAAGCGUGGGGAGCAAACAGG
rnacentral:rRNA from 1 species